UACAGAGGGGGCAAGCGUUAUUCGGAAUUAUUGGGCGUAAAGGGCGCGUAGGCGGCUUUGCAAGUGGCGGGUGAAAUCCCUCGGCUUAACCGAGGAACUGCCUGCCAGACUGUGAGGCUCGAGACCGGGAGAGGUGAGUGGAAUUCCCAGUGUAGCGGUGAAAUGCGUAGAUAUUGGGAGGAACACCAGUGGCGAAGGCGGUCAGCUGGUCCGUUACUGACACUAAAGCACGAAAGCGUGGGUAGCAAACAGG
rnacentral:rRNA from 1 species